UCCGCAACAAGAGGGAAGAAGAGGCAGAGGAGGAAGAGGAGAGGUCAUCAGUAGGGGAAAGAAAAACAGCUGAAUUUUGUGGCGUGACAACCAAGCCAACAGACAGACCAGCUAACUGGCAUCAAACUUGACUGCUGAGUACAUGGGACAUUUGGAUGUGAUGCCACAGGACAAAGAAAAGAGAAACAAAAACGUAAAAAAAAG